rnacentral:siRNA from 1 species
CAAGACUUGUUGAUCGUUCAAAGC